UACGUAGGGGGCAAGCGUUAUCCGGAUUUACUGGGUGUAAAGGGAGCGUAGACGGCAGUGCAAGUCUGGAGUGAAAGGCGGGGGCUCAACCCCCGGACUGCUCUGGAAACUGUACGGCUGGAGUGCAGGAGAGGUAAGUGGAAUUCCUAGUGUAGCGGUGAAAUGCGUAGAUAUUAGGAGGAACACCAGUGGCGAAGGCGGCUUACUGGACUGUAACUGACGUUGAGGCUCGAAAGCGUGGGGAGCAAACAGG
rnacentral:rRNA from 1 species